UACGUAGGGACCGAGCGUUGUCCGGAAUCAUUGGGCGUAAAGAGCGUGUAGGCGGCCACUUAAGUCCUGCGUGAAAUCUUGCGGCUCAACCGCAAGCGGUCGUGGGAAACUGGGUGGCUAGAGUGCGGGAGAGGAGAGUGGAAUUCCUGGUGUAGCGGUGGAAUGCGCAGAUAUCAGGAAGAACACCCGUGGCGAAGGCGGCCCACUGGUCCGGUACUGACGCUGAGGUGCGAAAGCGUGGGGAGCAAACAGG
rnacentral:rRNA from 1 species